CGGUGUUUAACUGGCGUGAUGUGGGACGUCCUACCGGUGGGCUUAGCCUCGCGAGGGGCGGCCCAACUAAUAUCCCGUCGCGGUGCUCUUUACUGAGUGUCGAGUCGGGCCGGUACGUUUACUUUGAACAAAUUAGAGUGCUUAAAGCAGGCUAUCCUCGCCUGAAUACUGCGUGCAUGGAAUAAUGGAAUAGGACCUCGGUUCUAUUUUGUUGGUUUUCGGAACCCCGAGGUAAUGAUUAAUAGGGACAGAUGGGGGCAUUCGUAUUGCGACGUUAGAGGUGAAAUUCUUGGAUCGUCGCAAGACGGACAGAAGCGAAAGCAUUUGCCAAAAAUGUUCUCAUUAAUCAAGAACGAAAGUUAGAGGUUCGAAGGCGAUCAGAUACCGCCCUAGUUCUAACCAUAAACGAUGCCAGCUAGCGAUCCGCCGAAGUUCCUCCGAUGACUCGGCGGGCAGCUUCCGGGAAACCAAAGCUUUUGGGUUCCGGGGGAAGUAUGGUUGCAAAGCUGAAACUUAAAGGAAUUGACGGAAGGGCACCACCAGGAGUGGAGCCUGCGGCUUAAUUUGACUCAACACGGGAAACCUCACCAGGCCCAGACACCGGAAGGAUUGACAGAUUGAUAGCUCUUUCUUGAUUCGGUGGGUGGUGGUGCAUGGCCGUUCUUAGUUGGUGGAGCGAUUUGUCUGGUUAAUUCCGAUAACGAACGAGACUCUAGCCUGCUAAAUAGGCGUACCUUAUGGUAUCGCGAAGGCCCCCGGCUUCGGCCGGUGGGUUUUUACUACCAACGUACAAACAAAUCUUCUUAGAGGGACAGGCGG
rnacentral:rRNA from 1 species